rnacentral:rRNA from 1 species
AUACGUAGGGGGCGAGCGUUGUCCGGAAUGAUUGGGCGUAAAGGGCGCGUAGGCGGCGCGGUAAGUCUGGAGUGAAAGUCCUGCUUUCAAGGUGGGAAUUGCUUUGGAUACUGCCGCGCUUGAGUGCAGGAGAGGUUAUCGGAAUUCCCGGUGUAGCGGUGAAAUGCGUAGAGAUCGGGAGGAACACCAGUGGCGAAGGCGGGUAACUGGACUGCAACUGACGCUGAGGCGCGAAAGUGUGGGGAGCAAACAGGAUUAGAUACCCUGGUAGUCCACACUGUAAACGAUGAAUGCUAGGUGUAAGAGGUAUCGACCCCUUGUGUGCCGGAGUCAACACAAUAAGCAUUCCGCCUGGGGAGUACGGCCGCAAGGUUGAAACUCAAAUGAAUUGACGGGG